rnacentral:rRNA from 1 species
CCCUUAGAUGUUCUGGGAUGCACGCGCGUUACACUGAUUCGUUCAACGAGUUUAUGACCUUGCCUGAUGAGGUGGGGGAAUCUUUUCAAAUCGCAUCGUGAUGGGGAUAGAGUAUUGUAACUGUUAGUCUUCAACGAGGAAUUCCUAGUAAGUACGUGUCAUCAGCUCGUACUGAUUAUGUCCCUGCCCUUUGUACGCACCGCCCGUCGCUCCUACCGAUUGAGUGCUCAGGUGAAUAGUAUGGACUGCAUCAGUGUUCGGUCUCCGAAUGUUGACGCGAGAAAUUCUGUGAAUCUUAUUGCUUAGAGGAAGGAGAAGUCGUAACA